CAGGUUUUUCUCUCGGGGUUCAGAUCCAUCAGUCUCCCUCUGCUGUCAUCAGAAACACCGGUGACAAUGUGCAACUUGUAUGUACUCAUGGACAAAGUGACUACAGAGUGAUGCUGUGGUACCAGCAGUCACCUGGGGACAAGGCUCUGAAACUCAUUGGAUAUGGAUAUACACAAUUCAAAAAUGACAGCGUGGAAGAGCUGUUUAGAAAACACUUCAAAUUAGCUGGAGAUCUGAGUGGAAACAACAAAAAUGGUUCACUUUCCAUAAUCAAUCUGAAAGCACUUGAACACAGCGCAGUGUACUUCUGUGCUGCUAGUAAGCCACAGUGUAUCAAACACCCAUCUGCCCUUGACAAAAACCUCUUCCUCUCUCUCUGCUGUAAGUAGGUAAAAUAGUACAUUAUCAUCUGCAAAAGCAGCUUUUCACUUGAUCAGAGUUUAAAACACAAUUACCAUCCUACUGUUCUGUAUUAAACAACCAAUUAAAGUGUUUUUUUAUUUCUCAAAGCCAAAGCCUUCAAAGGCUUUAAAAUCAUUAGCUGAUAUUGGAUUCUCCUGAAUUUGAACUGUAUUCUCUACAAGAAUAUCCCCCCCAAAAAGUCAAGUUGCCCAACAGUUCCAACUUUCCAGCUGAUCAGCCCAGGAAAUUAAACCUGAAACAGAGUAUCAAACUAUUUUCCAGAGGCUCAAUUCCACAUAGUAAAUGCAGAUUUGUUUACCUUGUUGAAAACUUAUAGCAAAGUCAUAAGAAUGAGUACAGAGAAACGCCACCCUUCAUAUUCUUAAACUGAAAAACCCUCAAGUACACAGGUAACAUUUAUAGUACACCAUGAUAGAAAAGCCUUAAUAUAAUGUGUAGAUGUGAAGCACACUGAAUGAAAUAGUUUCUCACCAUGUGCUAUGAUUUCUCUACAUCACUUCCUGCCCCUCCUUCUGAUCCACAAAACACAGCAGAGACUCAGGCUGGUUCUUCACAUUCAACAUGAUGCCAUCUCAACUCAUCGUUUCCAUCAUCACUUUGUUCUGGGUUAAAGGAGUUUACCUCAGUGAAGAAAAACAAGUAUUUCAGACUCCAACUGAGCUGUUUAUUAAACCAAACGGUGAAGUCAACUUGAGCCUCACACAUAAAAUCCCGAGAUACGACACUGUUCUCUGGUAUCAGCGCUCACCAGGAAACACUUCCCUAAAGCUCAUCGCCUACGUGUAUUAUAAAACUCCUAAGGUUGAGUCGGAAUUUCAGAAUCACUUCAAUGUGAGUGGAGACGGAGAGAAAACAGCUUAUCUUCACAUCCUGAACCCGAGACACCCUGAAGAAAGUGGAGAAUAUUUUGGAGCAGCAAGUAUAUACACAGCAAUAAAGACAGUGACUCUCUCAUACAAAAACCUCCACAAUGAUCCAGCAGAGAACAGCACACCAACAGGAAACCACUGGAACCACCUCACACAGUGUCAAAGUUCUGAGAGUCUUCAUUAAUACUGUUCAUUAGAAUAUGCUUAUCCUUUUACUGUGUACAUUUAGGAAGUAAAGAAUAAGAUAGAAAAUGAUAAAGAGAAUGAUGAGAAAAACCAAGAAAGUGAAUAAGGUUCCUUUUAUAGCACUGUUUCCAAAAACCCUGAUUUUAGCGGAUAUGUAUAUUUAGCGAAAAAAUAAAGUCACAAGGAUAUACUGAGUGCUUGAACUGCUUUAACAGAUUCCCUCAGGUGAAUAAAAACUGUCUGUGUGAAUCAGAAUCAUAAAAGCAGAGAGCAGUGAAACACACUGACAUGGGGGCAGUUGUAAGCUCCUCCUUCCUCAUUACAAAUCAAAUGUGCAUUUAUCUGUUUAAGUCCCAGUUAAGAGUUGAUCCAUCACAGAGAACAUUAU
rnacentral:lncRNA from 15 species